rnacentral:rRNA from 1 species
CCUACGGGAUGCAGCAGUGGGGAAUAUUGCGCAAUGGGCGAAAGCCUGACGCAGCAACGCCGCGUGAGGGAUGAAGGUCUUCGGAUCGUAAACCUCUGUCAGCAGGGAAGAACGGUCACUUGGCUAAUCAGCAGUGACUUGACGGUACCUGCAAAGGAAGCACCGGCUAACUCCGCGCCAGCAGCCGCGGUAAUACGGAGGGUGCGAGCGUUAAUCGGAUUUACUGGGCGUAAAGCAAUCGUAGGCGGUAUGUCAAGUCAAGGGUGAACUCCCCGCGCUCAACGUGGGAACUGCCUUUGAAACUGGCAAACUGGAGUGUGUGAGAGGAUAGUGGAAUUCCAGGUGUAGGAGGGAAAUCCGUAGAUAUCUGGAGGAACAUCAGUGGCGAAGGCGACUAUCUGGCACAUAACUGACGCUGAGGAGCGAAAGCGUGGGUAGCAAACAGGAUUAGAUACCCUAGUAGUC